GACGAACGCUGGCGGCGUGCUUAACACAUGCAAGUCGAACGGAAAGGCCCUGCUUUUGUGGGGUGCUCGAGUGGCGAACGGGUGAGUAACACGUGAGUAACCUGCCCUUGACUUUGGGAUAACUUCAGGAAACUGGGGCUAAUACCGGAUAGGAGCUCCUGCUGCAUGGUGGGGGUUGGAAAGUUUCGGCGGUUGGGGAUGGACUCGCGGCUUAUCAGCUUGUUGGUGGGGUAGUGGCUUACCAAGGCUUUGACGGGUAGCCGGCCUGAGAGGGUGACCGGCCACAUUGGGACUGAGAUACGGCCCAGACUCCUACGGGAGGCAGCAGUGGGGAAUAUUGAACAAUGGGCGGAAGCCUGAUGCAGCAACGCCGCGUGCGGGAUGACGGCCUUCGGGUUGUAAACCGCUUUCGCCUGUGACGAAGCGUGAGUGACGGUAAUGGGUAAAGAAGCACCGGCUAACUACGU
rnacentral:rRNA from 1 species